GUUGUGUUGACCCACCUGGGAACACUGCUGGUUCCAGAAUGCCAAGCUCCAAAAUGUAAAAUUAACAAGGAAUUGUUCACCUGAUGAAAAGGAACAUGGAGAGAUGGUUCUUGAAUCUGAAUAGGAGGAGAUCGUGCCUGGACACACUAGGAAGAAUCUUCUGCAUUGAUUUGAUUAAAAAACAACUAUGUAAAUACCUCUUUU
rnacentral:lncRNA from 10 species